rnacentral:rRNA from 1 species
UGGGGAAUAUUGCACAAUGGGCGAAAGCCUGAUGCAGCGACGCCGCGUGAGGGAUGACGGCCUUCGGGUUGUAAACCUCUUUCAGGAGGGACGAAGCGCAAGUGACGGUACCUGCAGAAGAAGCACCGGCUAACUACGUGCCAGCAGCCGCGGUAAUACGUAGGGUGCGAGCGUUGUCCGGAAUUACUGGGCGUAAAGAGCUCGUAGGCGGUUUGUCACGUCGUCUGUGAAAUCCUAGGGCUUAACCCUGGACGUGCAGGCGAUACGGGCUGACUUGAGUACUACAGGGGAGACUGGAAUUUCUGGUGUAGCGGUGGAAUGCACAGAUAUCAGGAAGAACACCGAUGGCGAAGGCAGGUCUCUGGGUAGUAACUGACGCUGAGGAGCGAAAGCAUGGGUAGCGAACAGG